rnacentral:rRNA from 1 species
AUCUGGUUCAGACGAACGCUGGCGGCGUGCUUAACACAUGCAAGUCGAACGCGAACGGGGCAACCCUAGUAGAGUGGCGCACGGGUGAGUAACACGUGGGUAAUCUGCCUUAUGGUUCGGGAUAACCAGUGGAAACGCUAGCUAAUACCGGAUAGGCACAGCAUCACAGGAUGUUGUGAGAAAGUGUGGGAACUUCGGUCCACACGCGAUAAGAUGAGCCCGCGUCCCAUCAGCUAGUUGGUAGGGUAAGAGCCUACCAAGGCGAAGACGGGUAGCUGGUCUGAGAGGAUGAUCAGCCACACUGGAACUGAGACACGGUCCAGACUCCUACGGGAGGCAGCAGUGGGGAAUAUUGCGCAAUGGGCGAAAACCUGACGCAGCGACGCCGCGUGGAGGAAUGAAGGUUUUCGGAUUGUAAACUCCUGUCGCAAGGAACGAACGGUGCGAAGUCGAAUAGGCUUUGUAAGUGACGGUACCUUGAAAGGAAGCACCGGCUAACUCUGUGCCAGCAGCUGC